GAUGAACGCUAGCGAUAGGCCUAACACAUGCAAGUCGAGGGGCAUCACAUGAAGUAGCAAUACGGAUGGUGGCGACCGGCGCACGGGUGAGUAACACGUAUGCAACCUGCCUUCAACAAGGGGAUAACCCGUUGAAAGACGGACUAAUACCCUAUAACACAGGGGUCCCGCAUGGGAAUAUUUGUUAAAGGACAACCGGUUGAAGAUGGGCAUGCGUUCCAUUAGCUAGUUGGCGGGGUAACGGCCCACCAAGGCAACGAUGGAUAGGGGAACUGAGAGGUUUAUCCCCCACACUGGUACUGAGACACGGACCAGACUCCUACGGGAGGCAGCAGUGAGGAAUAUUGGUCAAUAGACGCAAGUCUGAACCAGCCACGUCGCGUGAAGGAAGACGGCCCUACGGGUUGUAAACUCUUUUAUACGGGAAUAAAGUGCCCCACGCGUGGGGUUUUGGUCAUGUACCGUAU
rnacentral:rRNA from 1 species